GACGAACGCUGGCGGCGUGCUUAACACAUGCAAGUCGAACGGAAAGGCCCUGCUUUUGUGGGGUGCUCGAGUGGCGAACGGGUGAGUAACACGUGAGUAACCUGCCCUUGACUUUGGGAUAACUUCAGGAAACUGGGGCUAAUACCGGAUAGGAGCUCCUGCUGCAUGGUGGGGGUUGGAAAGUUUCGGCGGUUGGGGAUGGACUCGCGGCUUAUCGGCUUGUUGGUGGGGUAGUGGCUUACCAAGGCUUUGACGGGUAGCCGGCCUGAGAGGGUGACCGGCCACAUUGGGACUGCGGGACGGCCCAGACGCGUACGGGAGGCAGCGGUGGGGAGUAUGGCACAGUGGGCGCGAGCCUGAGGCAGCAGCGCCGCGUGCGGAAUAACGGCCUUCGGGUUGUAAACCGCUUUCGACUGUGCCGAAGCGUGAGUGACGGUAAUGAGUAAGGAAGCACCGGCUAACUACGUG
rnacentral:rRNA from 1 species